rnacentral:lncRNA from 1 species
AAUACUUUCAAAGAUAUUUAUAAAUCGAAAUUGGUUACAAAGUUGAAGACCGGUACACCAAAUAAACCAAACUUAACCAAUUUUUUUUUAACAAAAUAAAAACUAAACCUAAAACAAAAACCAAGUCUACGCCUCCAUGUACCGUCUCCCCCACAUCACCGUAUAGAUCUCGUCGCCGUGUAAAUCCCGUCGUUCUCCUCCUCCUCUAUUCGUCGUCGCCGUCCUCCUCCAUUGUUGUGUCGACCAAGCUCUCGCGUCUCGGUCUUCUCUCCUUCUCCUCCACCAGCACCGCUAGCUUUCUCUGCCAUCUCCAUCAUACUACUUCUUCAGAUCCAGUGUGUCAACGGAGCCCUCACGUCUCCGCCAAUCUUCUUCUUCUUGCUGGGUUCCACCUCCACCACCACCGGUAGCUUCUUCUGCCAUCUCCACACCACGGCUUCUUCAGAUCUCGGGCUCCGUCACAAGAUUUUGUUGAUCUCGUCGCCUUCCUUUCCCUACCCAAACACAAUUAGAAAAUGAGAAGCCAACACAUGAACUUUAUCAAUCUUAAAACAAAAACAAAUAAUGAAUUGAAUAGAAACAUAGAUUGUCGUAAGGAGAAGAUAUAAGAGAGAUUGAUAAUUUUUGAAAGAAAAAAAUGAAAAAUCUAUAAGUCUGAAAAAGAAAAAGAACAGAUCUGAACCGUCAGAUUUAAUCUCAUCCAACGGAUGAAGAGGUGAUUCGUGUGCUUAAAGUUCUAGCCAAUAAGAACUCUUCAUUGUUCUUGGACACUAAAAAGGAAUUCUUCAUUGUUUCUGUACGAUAACCC